rnacentral:ncRNA from 1 species
CGUCUAGCUGUCGGGGGAACAAACGGCAGGGCUAGAGGAAAGCUGGUACUGUGGGAAAGUGUUGAGAUACCAGAAGGGGUGGCGAAGCUAGUGCCCCUACACGCAAGACUGGCGAGU